rnacentral:rRNA from 1 species
GAUGAACGCUAGCUACAGGCUUAACACAUGCAAGUCGAGGGACCGGCGCACGGGUGAGUAACACGUAUCCAACCUGCCCUUUACUCGGGGAUAGCCUUUCGAAAGACAGAUUAAUACCCGAUUUAAAGGAUGGGGAUGCGUUCCAUUAGGUUGUUGGUGAGGUACCGGCCCACCAAGCCUUCGAUGGAUAGGGGUUCUGAGAGGAAGGUCCACCGCAUUGGAACUGAGACACGGACCCAGCUGCGACGGGACGCAGGAGUGAGGUAUAUUGGGCAAUGGGGGCUAGCCUGAACCAGCCAAGUAGCGUGAAGGAUGAAGGCUUAUGUGACGUAAACUUGUUUUAUAUAAGAAUAUGUAUUAUAUGAAUAAGGAUCGGCUAACUCCGUGCCAGCAGCCGCGGUAAUUC